rnacentral:rRNA from 1 species
UACAGAGGGUGCGAGCGUUAAUCGGAAUUACUGGGCGUAAAGCGCACGUAAGCGGCUUGGUAUGUCGGGUGUGAAAUCCCCGGGCUCAACCUGGGAACUGCAUCCGAAACUGUAUAGCUAGAGUACGGUAGAGGGGGAUGGAAUUCCGCGUGUAGCAGUGAAAUGCGUAGAUAUGCGGAGGAACACCGAUGGCGAAGGCAAUCCCCUGGACCUGUACUGACGCUCAUGCACGAAAGCGUGGGGAGCAAACAGGAUUAGAUACCCGGGUAGU